UGAAUGGUUUGCGUGCGUGGUAUGACAACAUUGUAGAGGUUUUCCGAUGACAGCUGCGAAAAAGAAAAAACAUAUUGCUAGCACAAUUUCACCGAUAUGGUAAUUGGUGCCAAUAUGUUGCACCAGAAUGACAGCACGUUAAUUGUUGCCUGUGUGACAGCGCUGACAGAUGUAGGUGUAACGGCAGUUUGAGCUGCAGCCCACGCACUGGGAACUGUGACAGUCAGCAUCAUGGAGGCUGAGAGGAUCGACCCACCGUGAGAGAAAAUCCACGACUCUACACGUCCUGGGGAGGAAGCUUCAUCACCGCCUUCAUUCAGCUGCUUAAAGGCAACAAUGUCUUACUUAUGGACAGGAUUACCACAGACCUGACCGUGAACACCGUUGACACCCCCCUGAGGGAGACGCUGCCUCAGAUCUCCAGGCUGCUUGGUCGUGGUCUUUCUGCUCCAGAACAUCUUCAUCAACUACGUCUUCUUUUGAAGAAGCCCUCAGAUGCUGCAAUCUCUGACCUUAAGAAGGAAAUACUGCUUUCACUCUGUAAUGAGACGCAGGUUAUUUUAAAGACCCAGCUCCUGGUGGCUUUGAGUGAAAAUUUAACAUCCAUCAAAACAGAACUACAGACAGUUAAAUCUGAGCUGUCGGUCAGUAUUUCUAACAUCAGUCUGACCCGGGUGUACUAAAGCACGCUGUGGGUGAAACGGAAACUUCAGUCUCCACAUCACCGACGACAUCGUCACACUCCAAAGCAGAGCACCUGUCUGCUGAACUUUUAAAAAUGGACUAUAAAGGUGAAGAAUUUGAGCAGCAGAACAGAUGUGAUCAGAAAGAAGUCAUUUUCUUGUUUCUUUUCUUUCUGUCAGAUGCAGAUGUUGGAGCUAAUUCUGAUCUUUCAGGAGAAAAAGCUGCUUUUCCUUCAUAGACUUUUCGGGAAAUUAUUCUCUUAGGUUUUCUCUUUAUAUGUAAUUAUUUCAUUAUUGUAAAAUAAAGUUUGAUGCAUAAAGCCUCA